CAAUAGCGUAUAUUUAAGUUGUUGCAGUUAAAAAGCUCGUAGUUGGAUUUCGGGUGGGACGCAGCGGUCUCGCAUUGCGUUUGUACUGCUGCAGCCCUCCUUCUUGCCGGGGGCGGCCUUCCGGGCUUCACUGUCUGAGGGUCAGAAUCGGCGAUGUUACUUUGAGUAAAUUAGAGUGUUCAAAGCAAGCUUACGCUCUGAAUAUAAUAGCAUGGGAUAACACGACAGGACUCUGGCCUAUCGUGUUGGUCUAUAGGACCAGAGUAAUGAUUAAGAGGGACAGUCGGGGGCAUUCGUAUUCCGUUGUCAGAGGUGAAAUUCUUGGAUUUACGGAAGACGAACAUCUGCGAAAGCAUUUGCCAAGGAUGUUUUCAUUGA
rnacentral:rRNA from 1 species